UACGAAGGGGGCUAGCGUUGUUCGGAAUCACUGGGCGUAAAGCGCACGCAGGCGGAUUGAUAAGUCAGGGGUGAAAUCCCGGAGCUCAACUUCGGAAUUGCCUUUGAUACUGUCUGUCUUGAGUCCGGGAGAGGUGAGUGGAAUUCCUAGUGUAGAGGUGAAAUUCGUAGAUAUUAGGAAGAACACCAGUGGCGAAGGCGGCUCACUGGUCCGGUACUGACGCUGAGGUGCGAAAGCGUGGGGAGCAAACAGG
rnacentral:rRNA from 1 species